CCAAUAGCGUAUAUUAAAGUUGUUGCAGUUAAAAAGCUCGUAGUUGAAUUUCGGGACCAAUCUGCCGGUCGUGCCUCUGGUACGCACUGGUUUUAUUGGUUUCUCCCUUCUGACGAACCAUGAUGUCAUUAAUUUGGUGUCAUGGGGAAUCAGGACUGUUACUUUGAAAAAAUUAGAGUGUUUAUAGCAGGCUCACGCUUGAAUACAUUAGCAUGGAAUAAUGAAAUAGGACGUUUGACCCUAUUUUGUUGGUUUAUAGGAUCGACGUAAUGAUUAAUAGGGAUAGUUGGGGGCAUUAGUAUUCAAUUGUCAGAGGUGAAAUUCUUGGAUUUAUUGAAGACUAACUACUGCGAAAGCAUUUGCCAAGAAUGUUUUCAUUAAUCAAGAACGAAAGUUAGAGGUUCGAAGGCGAUCAGAUACCGCCCUAGUUCUAACCAUAAACGAUGCCGACCGGCGAUCCGCUGUCGUUACUUGAAUGACUCAGCGGGCAGCCUCCG
rnacentral:misc_RNA from 1 species